ACUACCAAGAAAACCUAUCAUCCGUGCAGGCCCUCUAUUCUUCGCGCCGCCCGCAACCCAGGGCCUGUUCGCAGGCUAGGGGAUCUACUACCCCUUGGACAUUAAAGUAAACAAUGACCAUCACGGGGAUCUACUACCCCUUGGACAUUUAAGAUGCCCAUCUCGGGGAUCUACUACCCCUUGGGUAGAAUCCAACAUGGGGGAACCACAACCCCCUGAGGACAUAUAAUUAUAUCAUAAUCAUAUUGCUGCAAUAGUGAGUCUGUGGGGCGACACUUUGGCCACAGUUUAAAGUAUAAUCGGAGCAUUUCUCCUCGACAACCCUUCUCCCACAACAUUGUGUGUAUCAUAGUUGUUUUCUUAAUUGUCCUAGAAUAUUUGCUUAACGAAUUGGUGCAUUAAGC
rnacentral:lncRNA from 1 species